rnacentral:lncRNA from 10 species
CUGGGUGUGGCCGGCGGCUCUGGUCUCGGCUGUGAGCUGCGCUCUCCACGCCGGCUCCGCGCUCCAGGGGCUGCUGAGCGCCCAGCGGACACCGGCAGCGCGCGGUCGACGCGGGCCUGAGCUCCCUCCAGAGAUGGAUACCUGCCAUGUAGCCCAGGCUGGUCUUGAACUCCUGGCCUCAAGUGAUCUGCCCACCUCAGCCUCCCAAAGUGCUGGGAUUAUGGGCAUGAGCCACUGCGCCUGGCCUAUCCUGCCUUUGUGCCAGGCAGUCCUCCUCAUGUGUAUUACAGCUGUUUUCACUCAUUAGCUCCUGAGGUAAACAAAUUGAAAAAAUGAGCGAACUGGAACAGUUGAGGCAAGAAGCAGAACAACUGCGGAAUCAGAUUCAGGAUGCUCGGAAAGCAUGUAAUGAUGCAACGCUUGUUCAGAUUACAUCAAAUAUGGACUCUGUGGGUCGAAUACAAAUGCGAACAAGACGUACACUGAGGGGCCACCUAGCUAAAAUCUAUGCUAUGCAUUGGGGAUACGAUUCCAGGCUGCUAGUCAGUGCUUCUCAAGAUGGAAAAUUAAU